CCUACGGGAGGCAGCAGUGAGGAAUAUUGGUCAAUGGACGAGAGUCUGAACCAGCCAAGUAGCGUGAAGGAUGACUGCCCUAUGGGUUGUAAACCUCUUUUGUCGGGGAGCAAAGCGAGUCACGUGUGACUCAUUGAGAGUACCCGAAGAAAAAGCAUCGGCUAACUCCGUGCCAGCAGCCGCGGUAAUACGGAGGAUCCGAGCGUUAUCCGGAUUUAUUGGGUUUAAAGGGAGCGUAGAUGGGUUGUUAAGUCAGUUGUGAUAGUUUGCGGCUCAACCGUAAAAUUGCAAUUGAUACUGGCAGUCUUGAGUACAGUUGAGGUAGGCGGAAUUCGUGGUGUAGCGGUGAAAUGCUUAGAUAUCACGAAGAACCCCGAUUGCGAAGGCAGCUUACUAAACUGUGACUGACAUUGAUGCUCGAAAGUGUGGGUAUCAAACAGGAUUAGAUACCCUUGUAGUC
rnacentral:rRNA from 1 species